GGGUGUGGGGUGUGGGGUGUGGGGGAGAAGGUCUAACAGGACUAUUGGGCACAGUCCUGUGCUGCUAAAGGGAUGGGAGGCAGGAUAAAAACUGAAGUUAAACUACCCCUCACCGGACCCGGGGAUUCUAGGUUGGGUAGUCAAGGCACAGAGAGACAGAAAGGAGUUGAAGGGGAGUGAAGGUGAGGAUGGACACAUGGUACCCCCUCCUUCAGUUCUGAUCACGCAUAUGGGGGGGGGGAUCGCCUUCUCUCCGUUCCACUUUUUGCUGGGAAUCACGUACACUGGUCUCAGCAUCCCUACCCAGCUUCCCCUCAGCUAAGGCUGAGAAGCACCUCGCUGCUAACUCGGACCUAGGGCACGAUAACAGCUUAGCCCAGCCAAGCUCAUCAGCCAACCCCCGCCAACUUCUUCCAGGCAGGGUAAGGCCCCUCUAAACCUUGGUGAAAACUUGGAUUUCUCCGAUGCAGGGUGUCAGGCUCCACUUCUCUACCCCCUGGGCAAGAGAGCAGCCGGAGGUGUGAGUCACUCCCAGGGGAGGGGGGGAAGGGGCUCGAAGCCCCAGGUUUGCUUCCCAAAGGUAGGGGAUGGGGGGGGAGGGUGGCCAUAACACCACCAACAGCCGCGGCGCCUCCUUCUCACCUGGUCUGACGGCCUUGAAGGUGACGGACUCCUUGCAGCUCUGAAUAACUCCCAACACGUCGUAGCGGGGCAAGCCGGACACGCGAACCCCGUGCACCUCCAGCAGCAACUCGCCCUCGCUGAGACUGUUGCCCUCGCCGCCGCUGGCAAGCCCCAGCUCCGCGUCCGGCUCCACGGAGCCCACGUAGGGGAACUCGCCGUACUCGGCUCCCCCCAGGACGGUCAGCCCCAGCUCGCCCUGGGGCCCCCGGCUCAGGGUGCACUGAUGCACCUUGGUGGUCCAGUGAUUCUUCUUCUGGAUGACUUUGGACAUGGUGCUGGCCGCGCGUGUGGCGUCCACUCACCCCCUCACGCCCGACCCACACGCGAGUGCACACGCACAGCGAGCGGACCCGAAGAUACACAGGAAUGCGAAACAGGUGGCCCAAGACAGCAACAGCCCCAGCCCCGGCCCCGAAGAUCAGCUGGGGCGCAGGACGGGCAUGUCCCCAGAGGGCACCCCCAAAGACAGAAGCAUAAGAAAGAAACUUUGCCCGCUCGCCCUCCCCCAGCUCAAGCCAUCCUUAGGCAAACUUUCUCAGCGCCUCCGGGCUCCCGCCCCAGCCCGCGGCCAGCUUUGUUUGCAUUCCAGUCCCGGGAGAUCCACGCUUCGCAAGCCGGCCCGGAGCGCCCAGGGACCGCAGCCCACUCCGGGCUGGUACCUCCCUCCUCUCCCUCUCUUUUGCCUCUCUGUGCGGUGGUCUUCCUCGCGGACGCUUUCCUCGGUCGCGCUAUCUCCCGAGGAUUUGGAAUGGGGUUUAGCCUGGGCCAGGCUCGGCGGCCGGGGUUUGGGUCCCCAGCGCCGCUGGACAGGCAGACCAGGAUCCAGAGCGCAGGCACGCCGACCCUGAGCCUAUUAACCUCCCCUGGCCAGUGGCCAACCCGGCUGCCAGUCAGGGAGCCGGCCCAGCCCGCCCCUCCCUUUCCCGCUUGGACUCUGACUCCCCGAGGCCAGCCGGGGAGGCGUGGGGACUGACUGCGCAGGGCUGGCCCGACGGAGGACUGAGCCAACUGUUCUGCCCCACCAGCGAAGGACCAGACGCACUCCGCGAACCCUAGCCUUGAUCUCCUGCCCUUAAGGGCAGGCGGACCCGGGUGGCCUAGGCCUCUGGCCGGGGUGGGUGGCUGAGCUCUGCUCUUCUCUCUCCAUCCCUGGGUGGGGUGUGGUCCCCCUGGGGACCAAAAGGCGAGCCCUUCUGGGCAUCAUAUGAGCGUCACAUAUUGGUAAAUGACUUACUUUUUAAAGAGUUCCAAGAGCGGUGGAGAAAGCCCUGCAUCAUAGAGUCUAGAGACCUGAGUACAAAUUCUGACGUGGCUGUGUGAUCUUACUGUGUGACCUUAGGCAAACCACUCAACUAUCUGGGCCUCAGUUCCUUCAUUUGUAAAAUGAGAGGGUUGGACCAAAUCAUCUCUAAAGCCGCUUCCAGGUUUGAUCCUAAGAUCCUACCGAGACUUUGGAAGAGUGAUAAAGAAAAUGCAUUUGGGGAGAGUUUGAAUUUUUAAACCCUUCGGUUCAGUAGCAAUUCUGCUAUUGUCUCUGUGAGACCACUCUGUCCACGGUGACCCAGGCUUUGCUCUUUGGAACCCCUGGGUUGGAACCCCUGGGUUACUCAAUCAUUGGAGAAAGUGUUUUCCUGGCUGUUAAUGAGUGUCCCAGGACUCUGUAGACGUAACCUGUAACAUAAGCAGGAAAAAGGCUAGUCACUCUGCUUAUUUUCUAACCAUUCCUGCCUCUCAGGUACCAUUCUUACUGGCAAACUGCACUAGCAACUCACCCAUCAUCUUUCUAUGGUUUACUCAUCUCUGCUUCAGAAUUCUUGCCUCUACAGGACUCUCCAAUGUUAUAAUAAACUAAUUUCUGUUGCACA
rnacentral:lncRNA from 1 species